GAAGCACCUGAGGGUCAGGAUCGCCGUCGCCGACAACAACAACAACAACAACAACAACAACAACAACGAGGCUUCAGACAAAGGUUGUUGAUCAAUGUGAAACUUUUUUACUUCCAUGGCCAACAGGAAGUGACACAUUUGGUGAAGGCCGACCACCGAGUGUAAGGAUGUGGUUGAAUACGUUUGUUUUGUUUUGCUUGGAAAGGAGAGUGGAGUUGACUGGAGGUAUGUCGGCUGCAGCCGUGACAUGAGCCGUUUGAAUCCUCUAAAAGCUCAGGAAAGGUGCUUCAGUGCUUCCUUCAUUAUCUCCCUUCCACAGUCAAGCCUAUCCAAGAGUUGGGUGUGUUCCUGUGGUGGGAUCUCAUUGUUUUGAUGAUCAUUUUAACAGGAACACUAUUUGAUGCAAAAGGUUAAAAUGAGUUUGUCCAUAGCACUGAGUAUCUUCAGAAAACCCCCGUUUUGCUAUUCAGUGUGGCCAAUUCCGCCCAUACUUCAAACCCAUUCCAUAGUUGGCAAAUAUAGUUGCAAAAACAUAUUUGCAAAUUAAUUACACCGUGUAAUUUUACUAUCUUUUUCAAUCCAAAAAUAUACUUUUAUUUAUACCUUUUUCAUUGAAAAUCGAAUAUUAGAGUUUGCCCGGCGCAAUGUUUGGCGCCCAUGUUAUUGGCUUGGGGCAUUCUGUUUCGCUUCCAAAUCGGCAUUUUUGAACCACUAAUAUUGCUAAAAAAUAGCACCCAACCUCUGCAGUAGCAUGACCCUAACCCUAACCCUAGGGUGCCACUGCCUACACAUAAAACGAAGCAUCAACAACUUGGUUUGCAAACCACAUCUCAGGAAGUGGUGGUGCUCCACUUUGUUGGCGAAUCUCCACACUGAAGGGUAGCCUGUAGUUCUUCUGAAGCAGAUGUGCUGUGAAUUCCAAUAAUAACACAACCGUAACAAUGACCUACAAAAACGAUUUGUGUGUUUGUGUGCAGUCAUGGCAGACGGUUUGCUCAUUUCACAGAGGAGGGCAGAGAAAUGGCAAGAGGAACUCUACCCUAUCUUCCGUAUCCUGAGGAAGUGCAAACAGUCCGAAAUGGAGGAGACAUAAUAUUUGUCUUUCUUUCUUUCUUUCUUUAUUUUUUAUUAGUUUGUUUGAAGAGAAGAGCAGAAAAUAAGCAGAAAACAAGAUGGCAUCCGCCAUCUUGUUGUCAUGUGACAGCACUUGGACGUUGGAUGUCUAUGUCCUACAAGCCGCAGCAAGACAUUAUAGAAUAAACU